rnacentral:rRNA from 1 species
GACGAACGCUGGCGGCGUGCUUGACACAUGCAAGUCGAACGGUGAUCUUGGGAGCUUGCUCCUGGGUGAUCAGUGGCGAACGGGUGAGUAACACGUGAGUAACCUGCCCCUGACUCUGGAAUAACAUCGGGAAACCGAAGCUAAUACCGGAUAUGACACAGAGCCGCAUGGUUUCUGUGUGGAAAGUUUUUUCGGUUGGGGAUGGACUCGCGGCCUAUCAGCUUGUUGGUGAGGUAAUGGCUCACCAAGGCGACGACGGGUAGCCGGCCUGAGAGGGCGACCGGCCACACUGGGACUGAGACACGGCCCAGACUCCUACGGGAGGCAGCAGUGGGGAAUAUUGCACAAUGGGCGAAAGCCUGAUGCAGCGACGCCGCGUGAGGGAUGAAGGCCUUCGGGUUGUAAACCUCUUUCAGUAGGGAAGAAGCGCAAGUGACGGUACCUACAGAAGAAGCACCGGCUAACUACGUGCCAGCCGCCGCCGUAACAC